CCUUAAUAUUACAUGAUUAUCUAAAUGGCCAACAGACACGGAGCUUACAGCGGGGGAGCUUCACUGCAAAGCAGACAGGUGAGCAUACAGUGGACUGCCAGAUAAAUACACUCAAUGGUCUGAAGUACAACAAUGUUAGCCUCUUCUUAUGCAGUCAGAAUGUGAUGGGAAAACUCCGGUAAGAAGUGGACAUCCAGGGGUUUAGGUUCACACUUCACACAGCAAACAGUGCAUCACAUCCCUUCAUCUCAACAAUUCAGCACUCAGUGGGAAAUACUCAUAUAUAUGGCUGUCGCCCUUCUUCUGAACUGGCAUUCACAUCAAGAGGUCCCACAGACACGAGAGGAGGAUGGAAAUUGAUUUGGACUACUCAUGAUCUCUCACAAAUGAUCUUCUGUCCCAUGGUUACCACCUUCUCAUUGAAUCAGCCUGCUCUUUCUCCCAACUCACAGCACCGUGCCCGUUCGCCGGCCCCACUUCCUCUUCACCACGGCUCACACUUUCUCUGAGAGCACUUCUCCCAAAACAAUGCCCCGUUUGCUCUGUACUUCCUCCUUGUAUACUCUUCUAAUUGCAACGUGUUUCUAUGUUCCUGACCAAUUGACUAUUUUAUGCCGAUGGGGUUUGACUUGUGUGGGUCUUGACUUGUUUGACUUGUGUGGAUCUUGACUUGUGGGUGUUGACUUGUGUGAAUCUUGACUUGUGGGUUUUGACUUGUGUUUGACUUGAGUGGAUCUUGACUUGUGUUGAUCUUUACUUGUGUUUGACUUGUGGGUCUUGA